CCUACGGGGGACAGCAGUGAGGAAUAUUGGUCAAUGGGCGCGAGCCUGAACCAGCCAAGUAGCGUGAAGGAUGACUGCCCUACGGGUUGUAAACUUCUUUUAUAAAGGAAUAAAGUGAGGCACGUGUGCCUUUUUGUAUGUACUUUAUGAAUAAGGCUCGGCUAACUCCGUGCCAGCAGCCGCGGUAAUACGGAGGAUCCGAGCGUUAUCCGGAUUUAUUGGGUUUAAAGGGAGCGUAGUUGGGUUGUUAAGCCGGCGGUAAAAACGCAGGGCUCAACCCCGUCGAGCCGUCGGAACUGGCAGCCUUGAGUGGGCGAGAAGUAUGCGGAAUGCGUGGUGUAGCGGUGAAAUGCAUAGAUAUCACGCAGAACGCCGAUUGCGAAGGCAGCAUACCGGCGCCCAACUGACGCUGAGGCACGAAAGCGUGGGGAUCGAACAGGAUUAGAUACCCGUGUAGUC
rnacentral:rRNA from 1 species